UAUGUUAUGUUAUGUUAUGUUAUGUUAUGUUAUGUUAUGUUAUGUUAUGUUAUGUUUCUUAACUGUGAAAAAAGUCUGUCCGUUGAAAGGAAAAUGUGACCAAAAACAGCAAUCUGAUUUCACCUGAUGAGACAGUCUGAGUGAUAAACAGAAAAGCGCUGUAUUCCUCCUGACUCAUCGCCAACAUUUCCGUUAAACGACCUCGUCAAUUUUUGCCCUUGAAAUUUGUUUCGUCCAGUUUUGAGUCACGGUUUCCCGCCUUUGAAUUUGCACUCUUGUUGAUGCAUGGCGAGUGAGGGAGCAAGCAGUGCGGCGCAUUGUGUCCCCGCCGGCAUGGGGCUCGUUGCAGCGGGGGAACGGUUGCAGCGGCACUGGCGCUCCCAGGACGCUGGCGAGCACUGUUAGCAACUUUCAAACGACUUCCCUCGGGCGCCACUGAGCAGAUGCUAUGAUGUGGUGCUGGCUGCGGUGCGGCUUUUCUUCCCUUGCUUUAGUUAGUUCUUUUUUUGUUUGCUGAUACAAACAUCAUUGUCCACAGCUUCUUUAGAAACUGAUGUUUGGAUUUUGUUAAUUUUGCUGUUAGUUUUCACCUGUUUCUCCACCUUUAUGCUUUAAAUAUUGACUCGUACCAAUUUUCUUUUUCAGAAAUCAACCAAAAGUUUGGGUAAAACACAAUCCUGUAUAUUUAUUUGUUUGUUGUGGUGUUGCCAUCUUAUUGUUCGGCAGUGACUUUUAGUGUGUAUGGCUUUAAAAGGUGGUGAGUGACAUGGGCGUCGCCGAAUAAGUAGAGUGGAUUGUCCCUGUGUUUUUACUGACCUGUUGUGGAAAAAAACAUUCUGGUUGCCUCAUAGUUUUGUUCACUUGACCGAGGGUACUUAAAAACAAUCCCCCAAAAUAUUCCGGAGUUUUAUCUUUGGCCUUUCCAUUCAUAGAUGUCAUUUGCCAACGCGAGCGGCAAUAAAUAUCCGGUUUGAUAUCGCAGCCGUAAUGGAAUUGUUUGCUCUGCUGCCAUUACAGGAAAAAGGUCAGCGCUGAUAACUGACAUUGAGCGCCCACAUAAGCCUUGACUGCUCUUUGUUUUUUUUUCUUCUUUCAUGACGAUUUGCAGAGGUUGAUUCGUUUGGCGUUUACUUUGCAAUUAUAUGUCGUUUUUUCAUGUGUUUGAGGAUAUUAGUGGACCGUGACUGGGAGGAAAAUUACCCUUACUUGUAAUUAUGUAUUUCUUUAUGUGCAAGUAGCGUUAUAUGAAGUCAUGCACAAGAAGAUGAGAGAAUGGGGGAAGAAAAUAAAUUACAUUUCGCAAUUGGAAUUUCAAGGCCAGCGUGACCACUUAUAACUUUUUGAUAACUGCCAACUAAAUGACUGCCAUUAAUGCCCACUUUGGAAAAGGCCCUUUUUUUUUUUCUGCCAAAGUUCUAAAGACAGAAACUGCAUUAGGAUUUUUCUUUUAUUUGGUCAUUUUUGAAAAAUAUGUUGAUUGUGGCAACAUAUUACUACAUUUGUGACACUUAAUCCUUAUCUAUUUUUUUUAAAUGAGAAUUUAAAAUAAAUUUCAUUCCAUUAAUAUAUACUAUAUAAAAUAUUAUAAUUAAGAACCCCAAAGACAUCAUUGAUAAUUGCUUUUUUUUUUUUUAAUAAAUUUGGGCAAAUCCUUAAAUGUUUUCAAUCCCUGUUUUGACUCCAGUCUCGCUCUUGCUGAUUUCAUGUCGGUAGUGAUUCAUCAAUUCAACACACUAGACCGAAUUCAGAAUGCUUAUUUAAUCGCUAUGCCAUCUUGAGUUACAUUUGACUGAAGCGCACAUAACUUUCUAGUAUUGCCACGCUUCUUUUUUUAAACCUUCCUUUUCACACCAAUUUGUCACCGUAUUUAAUAACGAGCUGCUAGCUUUUGCAUGAAACCCGUUAGCGCCCUCACAGGAUCCUUUAAACACUUUUCGGGCGAAAGACAACACCUCAAGAGGAAACGUCGAAUUUAAAUUGGCGUCGCAGAAAAACAGCAGACGUUAGUAUUCAUGAAAUUAAUAUUUCAUUUGUAGCCAUCAGCAGCUUGCUGAGAGUUGGGCUCUCUCUCUUUCUCGCUCGCUCGUUGUGUCACAAAUAAAUGCAGGGGAAGCUGCACGGCAUUUCUAUUUUCAGCCCUAAACAGAGACCAAGUAGGAAGUUCCCAGGCAGUGCAAGUUGCGCUAUGACCAUAAUGUUCAGCCCUUGGGAAUUUGCUUCCCUCUCUUUAUUGCCUAUAGAUGGAAUACAAAUUGAAGAAAGUUGAUGCUUUCUUUUAUUUUUUUUACGGAUAGUUUACUACUUAGCAAGCCACGCUGAAUAAGAGGACAAGUGUGUUUGUUUCAAGCUGUUCUGGCCUCUCAACUGAUGUCUACUGACCUAAAAAAAUAAACAAGCAAAAAAGCAAACGGUACAUUUUAAGCACUGAAAUGUUCAACUGAACCAUAUAUUAAUAAAAGUCAGCUAGCUUGAUGCUAACAUAUAAUAUGAAACACCAUAGAUCAGCUCAUGUUGAUGAGACUACUGUAGAUAUUGAGCCGGACGAACAUAACAUUUUGAAUUCAAAGUUUUGCUUGCUAUUAUAAUUCAUGCAAUUAUGAGGCUUUUUACCACUUUGAAUUAAAAUCCAAUGCAUAUAUGUUGCCGCUUGUAAACGCGUGGUGAAUUUCAUUGACUGGUUGUUUAUUGUUUAUUUGUAUAAGACGUAGCAGUGCAUUGCAAAGCUCUAUUUCCUCAAUUGUUGUGGCUUUUUUUCCCCUCCAUUUUUUUCACGACAGCAAUUAUUUUCAAGCAGUGCACCAUAAAAUUAGCGUUAAAAUUGUUUCAUGACACAACACCGGGAGGGGCGGGGUGCUCAGAUAUGCCCGUGCGUCUUACUCUUCUUGAAUGGAUAAUGAAAACCUUCCCUCGCGUCACACAAAAGACGGCAAAUGAAGCUCAACAAAUAGUGACAAGCGUGCACAGCACUGCAGUGAACAUCUGCCGCCUGCCGUCGCAGUCGUUUACUCCUUCUCCGUUACGCCGUUCAUUAAAACGUACCUCUUUGCUUCAAUCAGGAAUUUCCCCCUCCAUAUUUUCAACUGAAUAAAGGAUGACAAAAUUCAAGCUGAUAAAGGCUAGUUUGACCUUAGCAUGCUUGUAGCACCCUCAAGUUAAGGCGAUACGUUUUUAUAUAGCAGUCGCAAAUUUGGAAUACAUGCUAGCUUCUCAGAAAAAGAGGUGCGAUUUCCCGACAGGAUUUCGUAUUGUUGCGCUAAAUAUUUUUUACGGGACUGACGGCUAAUGAAGUUGGAGGCGCUGCGGUGUGUUGUCAUUAGCGUAACCCCCGCAGGCUAAACGUUAUGCGUGGCGGCGGCUUCCUGAGCCGCGACUAGCCCCUCGCGCUUAGCGGACAAAGCCGCCAGUGUGAGGGUAACUUCAGGUCGCUGGACUGGCCUGUUUAGCAUGGGGAUCGUGGCUUGGCCUUACUUUAACCGACUUAAUUACCCUGACAGCCUCCAGCUCCCUAGCCUGAAUUUAUUAUCUUUAACCCAGUCCGAAGAGGGUGACCAAAAGCGGCGCUUACGCCAAAGCAACAGGUUUCGGGAACUGAGUGCUGCCUUGAGACAUGAGCGCUCCAAGUUAUGAGCGGGGUGCUUGGACAAAUAUCAAAAAGAAAAAGUCAUUACCAUCUUGUCGACCUGCUCUCGGUUAUUACCAAUGAGGAAGAAGCUUUCUAUGAAGUUCAACAUCUCAGGAUUGGAAUUGGCUGAUUCUUAUCAUCAGACGGACUUCUAAAAUCCUGCUCCACUUAUUGGCUUUCCACGCAACCUUCUUGUAUGCUUUACAUGAAGUUCCCUCUGCGAGCAUAAUAUAAAAGAACGUGUGAUCCUUUUCCGCGCAUAGAUGCGUUUAAAUGGCUCUUUGCCGCAUUUGUUUAUGAAGAUGAGUAUCUCGAGGGGCCGAUGCCAAAUGAAUGAGCGAGACCGGCAGGCGUGUGGCCUGUUUUUUUUUGUUUUUUUUUAAUUUACCGCCGCCACCACAUUGCGAGGCACUUUGCUGCCAUUCUAGUCGAAUGCUACUACACCAUAACUGCUGUCUAAUAGUGCGAAACUGCCAAAUGAAGUGGAAUGUUGAGAACGUCGAGGGUUGGACUGGGCUUGUAAAGAGGCUGCCGCGUUUACACUGACUAAAAAUUGGCAAUUUAGAGAUUAUUUUACAAAAA